GAUAAUUUUUCGUCCAUUAGGAUAUUCAGGCGUCUUAACAGUAAUGCACCAUGCUACCAUACCACAGGAGUUAGUUCCAGGCUCCCUAUUGACUUCCUGUAAUACACCAUGUUCGUCAGCAACAAGCUCCUUACAUUCAAACAUAUUCUGGGGUAUAGUAACUUUGGAUCGCCCAUUUGGAACCUUUUUCCAGCUAUCGGUGAAGGCGCGACGGAAUAAUUCUGGGAAGUCAUAAACGAAAGUAGUGCCCAUUAAUUGAGCUUUGUAACGACGAGGUUGAAGCCAUUCUUUGGUAGGAUAAGGUGUACUGAUGGGGCGAAGAUGCAUGGAUCCAGGUUGUCC